AACGAACGCUGGCGGCAGGCUUAACACAUGCAAGUCGAACGCCCCGCAAUACAGCAGUGGCAGACGGGUGGGUAACACGUGGGAACCUUCCUAGGGGUACGGAACAACUCAGGGAAACUUGAGCUAAUACCGUAUACGUCCGUGAGGAGAAAGAUUUAUCGCCCUUAGACGGGCCCGCGUCGGAUUAGCUAGUUGGUGGGGUAACGGCCUACCAAGGCGACGAUCCGUAGCUGAUCUUAGAGGAUGAUCAGCCACACUGGGACUGAGACACGGCCCAGACUCCUACGGGAGGCAGCAGUGGGGAAUCUUGGACAAUGGGCGCAAGCCUGAUCCAGCCAUGCCGCGUGAGUGAAGAAGGUCUUCGGAUUGUAAAGCUCUUUUGCCAGGGACGAUAAUGACGGUACCUGGAGGAUAAGCCCCGGCAAACUUCGUGCCAGCAGCCGCGGUAAAAC
rnacentral:rRNA from 1 species